rnacentral:rRNA from 1 species
UUUNNNCAUGGCUCAGAUUGAACGCUGGCGGCAGGCCUAACACAUGCAAGUCGAGCGGAAACGAGUUAUCUGAACCUUCGGGGAACGAUAACGGCGUCGAGCGCGGACGGGNNNNAAUGCCUANNAAAUUGCCCUGAUGUGGGGGAUAACCAUUGGAAACGAUGGCUAAUACCGCAUAAUGCCUACGGGCCAAAGAGGG